AAUCGUUUAUGAUCAUUUGGGAGAAAUAUUUUCAGCUCUGAUUUUCGGAAGCUUCUUCUUCUGUGUUUUCUUGUACAUAAAGGGUCAUGUGGCACCAUCAUCAACUGAUUCUGGUUCAUGUGGAAACAUAAUAAUGGAUUUCUAUUGGGGUAUGGAGCUGUAUCCUCGAAUUGGGAAGAACUUUGACAUCAAAGUUUUCACAAACUGUAGAUUUGGUAUGAUGGCUUGGGCAGUUCUGGCGUUGACCUACUGCAUUAAGCAGUAUGACCAGAAUGGCAAAGUAGCUGAUUCCAUGUUUGUAAAUACAAUAUUGAUGUUGGUGUAUGUUACAAAGUUUUUUUGGUGGGAAGCUGGGUACUGGAACACAAUGGAUAUCGCGCAUGAUCGAGCUGGAUUUUAUAUUUGUUGGGGAUGUCUGGUAUGGGUUCCAUCUCUAUAUACUUCUCCUGGCAUGUACCUCGUCAACCAUCCUGUGAACCUUGGAACUCAGCUUGCAAUUUACAUAUUAGUGGCAGGCAUUCUCUGCAUAUAUAUCAACUAUGAUUGUGACAGACAAAGGCAAGUAUUUCGCAGAACAAAUGGCAAAUGUACGGUUUGGGGAAAGGCUCCAUCAAAGAUUGUAGCUUCAUACACCACAUCAUCUGGGGAAACAAAGAGCAGCCUUCUUUUAACCUCUGGAUGGUGGGGCUUAUCUCGUCAUUUCCAUUAUGUUCCCGAAAUAUUAGCUGCUUUUUU
rnacentral:misc_RNA from 1 species